rnacentral:lncRNA from 1 species
ACUUGAACCAGGGAGGCAGAGGUUGCAAUGAGCCGAGAUAGUGCUACUAUACUCCAGCCUGGGUGACAGAGUGAAACCCUGUCUCAAAAAAAUAAUAAAAAUAAUAAAACAAAACAAUGGGACUUGUAUUCUCAGUCAUUAACCCUUAUUAAAAAGUUACAAUCAUUAAAAUAGGGCAACAAAUACCAAUGUAAGAACGAUGUGAUAGGCCAACGGAACAGAACGGUAAACCCAGUCAAACACACAAAAAUAUUUAGUGUAUGAUAAAAUGGCCUUUCAGAUCAUUGGAAAAUGAUUAAUUUAUUUAUAAUUCAUUUGGGGAUAGUUGGUUAAUUUGCUUUAAAGUUAUGUUCUUACCUCUCACCACACAUGAAGACAAAAUGAAGAGUUUAAUAUAAAAAGUGAAAUCAUAAAAUCUCAGAAGAACAUUUAAUUGAAAAUUUAUAUGUUCCUGGUGAAGGCAGCGGUUAUGCAACAAUAAAGUCCAAGACCAUAAAGAAAAGAUUAAUAAUCUGACAGCUUAAAAAUGAAGCAUCAAGAAAGUAUUUUAAAAAUUGAUGGAAAUGACAAAUUAGUUGCAUAAUAUGUGACAAAGAGUGAUAUAUGAAAAGGUGCUAAAUAUACAUCUUAUAAACCAAUACUAAAAAGAUGAACAUUACAAUAGAAAAUAGUCAAAGAAUAUGAACAGAAAAUUUACCAUUCAUUCACUCAACAAAUAUUUAUCGAGCACCUCUUCUGUGCCAGACAAGUUUACACAUGGGACACAGCAGUGAACAAGACAAAGGACAAAGGUCCCUGCCCCAAGGAGCUUACAUUCUAUUGGAGAGGGGCAAACAAUAAACAAGUAAAUUAUGAAGUAUUUUAGACGGUGAUAAGUACUACUGGCAAAAAAGAAAAAGAAGGGUUAAGUAAGGCGAUCAGGAGUGAGGCAUGGGGAGCUCAGGGGCUGGGGAGGUCUCAUCAGGAAGGAGACAUUUGAGCAAAGCUUUGAACAGAUUCAGGUAGUUGACCACACAGAGCAGGGGAAAUUGCCAUGGUGCGGCGGAGGGGCAGGAGAAGGCCAAGUUGGCUAGAACAGAAAGAGCAAGGGACCAAGUGGUGAGGACCCUGGAGGCCUUGAACAGGACUUUGGCUUUUAACCUGAGAACCAUUGCAGAGCUUUAAGGAGAAGAGUGAAAUUUUGACUUAUGUCUCAAAAAGGAUCAUUCUGGCUACCAUCUUGAGAGCAGACUUUUGGGGUACAAAGGUAGGAGCAAAUAGACCAUUUAGGAGGUCAGCAAACACAUGGCAACAUGUUCACUCUCACGGGUAACCAAAAAAAUGCAACUAAAAAAAUGUAUUCACCUGUUUUUAACCUAUCCAAUUUUUAAUGUUCUUUUAGAAAACAGUACUCAGUAUCAGUAAGGGUGAAUUACCUUCGGGCAGGUAAAUGGGAACCACCUUUCUGGGACCAGCUGGGUAUUCUGUGCCAAAGCCUCAAAAACACUCAAACCCUUUCACCAGAAAUCCAACUUCUAAUAAAUUAAUCUAAAGGUCUAAUAAUCGCCAGUACUUAUUGAGUGCUUGUAUGCACCAGGCUCUGAACUAAACGCGCUCCAUAUUACCCCCAUUUAAAUUCUUACCAUUAUUCCUGUCUUACAGAAAGAAAAAAGGCAUGGUGAGUCACACAGUUCACAAAUGAGGGCUAGAACCAAACCCAGGCACUGUGACCUGCUACACAGGAGAGGCAGAUAUGAAGAUUUCUUCAAGGGUGCUUAUUACAGCAUCAUUUAUAAUAGCAAAUAAAGUACCCAAAAAAAUCAACAAAGGAGGUGAUUCAUUCAGUUAUGAUUUGUCCACAUAAGUCAGUCAUUAAAAAUCUGGUUAAAGAAAACUCGUUUCCGAUCCAGCCAGGUGCUGAGACAGGCAGAACUUUCCAGAGCUUCUCCUUGGAAGCUGCCAGCUGCUGUGAUGUCCUAUUUCUUGAUCCAGGUGGUAAUCCAGAGGUGUGCUCACGUUGGGAUCAUUCAUCAAGUGGUACACCUAGGAUUUGUGGACUUUUGUGUGUGUGUAUGCUAUACUCAUGUUUUUAAAAGUUAUUUUUGGCCGGGCACGGUGGCUCACGCCUGUAAGCCCAGCACUUUGGGAGGCCGAGGUGGGCAGAUCAUGAGGUCAGGAGAUCAAGACCAUCCUGGCUAACAUGGUGAAAUCCUGUCUCACCUAAAAAAAUACAAAAAAAUUAGCCGUGCGUGAUGGCAGGUGCCUGUAGUCCCAGCUACUUG